GAUGAAGAACGUAGCGAAAUGCGAUACGUAAUGUGAAUUGCAGAAUUCAGUGAAUCAUCGAAUCUUUGAACGCAUAUUGCGCUCUUUGGUAUUCCGAAGAGCAUGCUUGUUUGAGUAUCAGUAAACACCUCAAAGCUUUUGGAUUUUUUAAUCGAAAAGCUUUGGACUUGAGCAAUCCCAACACCAAUCUUUUUGAGAUCGGUGGCGGGCUGCUUGAAAUGCAGGUGCAGCUGGACAUUCUCCUGAGCUAAAAGCAUAUUCAUUUAGUCCCGUCAAACGGAUUAUUACUUUUGCUGCAGCUAACAUAAAGGGAGUUUGACCGUAUUGGCUGACUGAUGCAGGAUUUCACAAGGGUCGGCAACGAUUCUUGUUAAACUCGAUCUCAAAUCAAGUAAGACUACCCGCUGAACUUAAGCAUAUCAAUAAGCGGAGGA
rnacentral:misc_RNA from 1 species